rnacentral:other from 1 species
GGGCAGGCCUCAUUGCCCUAAUUCUUUCUACCGAGUAUCUGCUAGGGUUUCUAGCGGCUUGAAUACUUGGAUUGAGGGAUACAAGAUACUACUGAUCGAUUGUCGAUUGGGAAACUUGUAGAUACUUCAAAGCUACCAGUAGCGUGGACUCACAGCCAGCGGACUACCCCUCAUGGUAACAUGAGCCUCUGGGCCCACAAGGCACGUCGCAAGACCUGUGAGACGGCAACCCCAGCCUAGCUUUGUUGAGGAAACAAGCGAUAACAUGACAUGAGAGACCGGAAGGAUUCUUGUAUUGUGAGCCGAAGGAUGGCCUCUAGGUACCUCAUUUUAUGAGAUCUGAGGAGGUGCUCUUGAGUUGGUGCUUUACACUGACAACACAGAGUUAAAAAGCGUCUAAGCUCACCCGGAAAUUGGGAAAUUUCCGUUAUUUCCAUUUUGUUUGCAAA